UACGUAGGUGGCAAGCGUUGUCCGGAAUCACUGGGCGUAAAGCGCGCGCAGGCGGCGAUCUACGUCUGGGGUGAAAGCCCGGAGCUCAACUCCGGGACUGCCUUGGAUACGGGAUCGCUUGAGGAUUGGAGAGGCAAGGGGAAUUCCACGUGUAGCGGUGAAAUGCGUAGAGAUGUGGAGGAACACCAGUGGCGAAGGCGGCUUUCUGGUCUGUAACUGACGCUGAGGCGCGAAAGCGUGGGGAGCAAACAGG
rnacentral:rRNA from 1 species